rnacentral:lncRNA from 1 species
CAGUUGGGAAAGGAAGGAUGCCUGCGGAUGACCUUGUGUGCAUUUCUUACACCAGCCUGUCAUUCUGAGCCCCUGUUGCAGAGAUGCUUGUCCCCUGGCAAGGAUGGGCAGGAGAAAAAUCCAGAUUGGGGGUUAAGCUGAACAGAGGAAGAAAAAAGACUGUGGAAAGUUUGUUCAAUGUUUUGACUAGAGAUCCCUGUGCUUUUCAGGUGAUAUUAAGGAGAAGAGAAUUUGCACACACAAAAAGAAAAGAGGUAAAAUUUUAAAACAAUGGCAAUGAACUCUAUUUUUGGGGAAGCUGAUACACACACAAAGAGGUCCUCCUUGCAGAGACCUACCCCCAAUGUGCAAAUCUUUCUGGGCUCCGAAAUAACCCAUUUCUUUUCUUGUUUGCCUCGGUGUUUUUCUUUUUCUCACCUGAUGGCUACACCUGAUUUAUGGGAUCCAAUGUGUUAGUGAAAUAUUUGUCAUUGCAUUUUUGUAUUCCUGAACUCAGUUUUAUUAUUGAUGUGUGAGGGUGCACCAUCAUUCUGAAUUCAAUUUUGAACCCAAUAUUGAAGUUAUUAAGAUCUGUUUCCAUUCCAACUUUGGGAAAUUUUAUCCUGAGGCAUACAAAAAGUAUUUUAAUUUUAAGCAUACAAAAACAUAUAAAGAAGCAUCAUAUUGCCUGCAUGAACAGGCUUUUUAAAAAAUGUUGUGUCUUCACAUAGAAACCAGGAACAAGGAAUGCAUGACGAAAUCUUUGUUGAGUAAGAAACAAAAAUAAAAAUAAAAAUAAAAAACCCACACGUUGUCAUCUAAGCAUUGAGCAUUUUCUUGAUUUUUACAGGUUAUUUCAUGCUGAAAUUAUGCCUAUUUGCAUGGAUAGUCAUUCUUUAAAACUAGUCACAGAUGCAGUCCUAGGGAGCACGUAGAUGUUUUUACAGGUGAACCGAAAGAGAUG